GGAAGGUGUUCAUAAGAUCGACACAGUGCAGGAUGUGCAGCAGUGCAUUGAGGAGCAGGGAGCUCUAAUGAAGGAUGUGCUGGAAGACGCACGAUUGGUCAGAUUGCAAAGGGGAGGCGGAGCCAUGCUGGCGAGGCUGAGGAGGGAAACUGAAGUGAGGUCACCAGACUGUGAAAAAAGCCGUGAGGUGAUCGACACAGUCACACACCUGUACAACACCAUGGAGGAGCAGGUGCACAUCCUGGCCAGGAAGUCCAAUAUGUCCCUGCAGCACCUGGACUUCCUGUUACAGCUC
rnacentral:lncRNA from 1 species